rnacentral:misc_RNA from 1 species
UGUUUCUCGCUCUUUCCCUUUGAACAUCCCUUAUUUCUUCUUCUAAAUCAUGUUUUGCACGCUUGUCGGAAUUUGAGAGAACUGCAUACGCUUCUCCAAUCAACUUGAACAGCCUAUCAGCAUCAUUGCGGACAGUAUCAGAGAUCUCUUUCCACAACCCUCCAUCAUCCAUGGCAUCACUCCUUGCCAAAAUUUGACCCGCCUUAUCAGGAUGAUGUCUGAGGGCUGCUUUCCUAUAUGCCUUCUUGAUGUCAGAUUCUGUAUCAGAUGACUUGAUUCCCAAAAUAAGAUAAAGAUCCAAUGGCGUUGCUCUUUUAGCCUUCUCCUGAAUUGUCGAAAGCUGCCGACGAGUUCGCUUUGCUUCUUUAGCACUACUUCCAUUUGACUUAUCCAGCGCCUCAGAUUGUCGAAUCCUUUCUUGAGAUUGAGCUUCCUGAAGGGAUAUGAGCCUCUCAAGAUCAUUUACAGCAUGCCCAUAGUCUCUAAUCAUCUCAUGUAAG